rnacentral:rRNA from 1 species
GAGAUGUGGGUUAGUCCGCACGAGCGCACCUCACUUUUAGUUGCCAUCAUUAAGUUGGGCACUCUGAAAGAACUGCCAGUGAUAAGCUGGAGGAAGGUGGGGAUGACGUCAAGUCCUCAUGGCCCUUACGUGUUGGGCUACACACGUGCUACAAUGGCCAGCACAGAGGGCUGCAAUCCCGCGAGGGGGAGCUAAUCCCAGAAAACUGGUCGUAGUCCGGAUCGCAGUCUGCAACUCGACUGCGUGAAGUUGGAAUCGCUAGUAAUCGUGAAUCAGAAUGUCGCGGUGAAUACGUUCCCGGGCCUUGUACACACCGCCCGUCACACCAUGGGAGUGGGUUGCAAAAGAAGUAGCUAGGCUAACCUUCGGGAGGCCGGUUACCACUUUGUGAUUCAUGACUGGGGUGAAGUCGUAACAAGGUAGCCCUAGGGGAACCUGGGGCUGGAUCACCUCCUU